GACGAACGCUGGCGGCGUGCUUAACACAUGCAAGUCGAGCGGUAAGGCCCUUUCGGGGGUACACGAGCGGCGAACGGGUGAGUAACACGUGGGUGACCUGCCCUCAGCUCUGGGAUAAGCCUGGGAAACCGGGUCUAAUACUGGAUAUGACUCCAUGACGCAUGUUGUGGGGUGGAAAGCCUUGUGCGGCUGAGGAUGGGCCCGCGGCCUAUCAGCUUGUUGGUGGGGUGAUGGCCUACCAAGGCGACGACGGGUAGCCGGCCUGAGAGGGCGACCGGCCACACUGGGACUGAGACACGGCCCAGACUCCUACGGGAGGCAGCAGUGGGGAAUAUUGGACAAUGGGCGAAAGCCUGAUCCAGCCAUGCCGCGUGAGUGAUGAAGGCCUUAGGGUUGUAAAGCUACUUUUACCCGGGAAGAUAAUGACGGUACCGGGAGAAUAAGCCCCGGCUAACUUCGUGCCAGCAGCCG
rnacentral:rRNA from 1 species